GAAGAAAGUGCUAAACUCUUGGGUUGCCGCAGCCUAAUGUUGUAUUAGACGUAAUCGAAAAUCAAAAGUAGCCUUCAUAUACGGAGAUGGGUAGCUAUGAUGCAAUGAUUAUGCAGAAGCUUGCUGCCAUGCAGCAGUUGGAACGUGAGCUUGAGGCCAUCUCUGCCAUUGAUUACCAGGAAAUUAUGUUAUUCCUAGUGAAGAAGUUCUUGUAGCAGGAACAUUUGGAGGAUCUAGCAGGUAAAGAUGCCCAAGAGAAAUCUGAUGUUGCUAUAGAAACCCUUUUACAAGAGCUUCCAAAUGAAAGAAAUGUCAAUAAAAGACCAGAUGAUUCAAAACAGAUACAGGAAAAGUCAAAGAAAAAGAAAAAGAGAUUAUAGAAGAGAUAAGAAUAUAAAUAUUUGUGGAACCUAAUGUUGUGUAACAGUUUGCUUGUGUUUGUUUUGAAAACUUUAAGUAGACUGUUGUUAACUAUUUUGUUGGUAUUAUGGCUUUCAUGAUUGAUUGUUUCAU